AAGACUAUAGACCUGCGGAGUACCUGCGGAAGGAUCAUCACCAAAAAUCAAAUUGGGUGUGGAAGUACUCUCCUCCCCUUUGGGGGGGGUGGGUAGGACCCACUCUACCACUUUGUGAACCAAUGAAACAAUGUUGUGUGAAUGGGGAGAGUAGUGUAUGAGAGGGAGGUGGGGGAGUAGAGAUGAGAGGAUCGACGGGUGUGGGUAGUACCACGCAGUCACCAAUCAACUUACCCCUUC
rnacentral:misc_RNA from 1 species